UCGUUGCUGCACAUGGGCUUUCUCUAGUUGCAGCGAGCGGGGGCUGCUCUUUGUGGCAGUGUGCAGGCUUCUCAUUGCGGUGGCUUCUCUUGUUGCGGAGCACGGGCUCUAGGCAUGCGGGCUUCAGUAGUUGUGGCACACGGGCUCAGUAGUUGUGGCUCGCGGGCUCUAGAGCUCAGGCUCAGUAGCUGUGGCGCACGGGCUUAGUUGCUCCGCGGCACAUGGGAUCUUCCUGGACCAGGGCUCGAACCCGUGUCCCCUGCAUUGGCAGACAGAUUCUUAACCACUGCACCACUAGGGAAGCCCUAAACUUUUAUUAAUCUGAGUAGUUUAUUCAUAGAUUCUCUUGGAUUUUAUAGGUAGACAAUCGUAUCAUCUGCAAGAAAAUGAUAGCUUUGUUUUCUCUCAUCCCUUAUAACUCAUGGUUUUUAUUUUUUAUUUUACUGCAAAGGCUUGUUCUCCAGUGAACUUUUGAGAAGAGUAGUGAUAACUGACUGUCGUGCUUGUCCCUCACGUCCAUGACUCUUGUACGUUCCCCGUCUGCCUAACAUCUUCUCCCCGCCCAGCUGGGCAGCAUGUCUCCACCUGGCCUCGAGCUGACUCCGGGCAAUCAGCAUUCAUCUCUGAGGGAAGCGGGUCUGCUGAGCCAGCCUGGUCCUGAAGGCCUGUGGGGGCAGGGACAGGGCUGAGCUGCAGAGAGACCACGACACCACCUGGGUUUGCUGUCGUCCCCUGCAGGAUCCCCUAACUCACACAGGGUGACAGUGGCCACACCCUCCCCGCCCACCUCCCCUUGGCCGACUCUUAGCUAAAAGCCUGGGUCAUAGGCCAAAGAACUAGCGCGCACACUGGCCUUCAGUUUUACCUCCCGCCAUGUGAGAGGGGUCUCAGCUCCCCCUUCUCAGGCCCAUCAGCCCAGGGAACCCCCCUGCACCCCUACCUCUGGGGCAGAGCCAGAGUCCACGACCAGUUCAAAUAGGGGUAGGCAUCCCCAGCCGAGCGAUGCAUGGAUUUGGCCAGUCCCUCAUCCCUGAUGCAUGACGGGUCCCCGAGACUCUACCGCUUUCUCUUCCCUGCCCUGCUCUUUGCCUUCGGUGUGUGGCAGGGACAGGAUGCUCAGAUGGGGUGAGGGGCAGGCGGCCCUGGGGUGCGGGAGACCCUGGGCGUUCAUGCUUCCUUGGCUCCUUCCCCUUCCUGCCCCUGAUUCCCAAAGUUGUCAAACUAGGUUCCAUUUCCCAGCUUCCUGUACAGUGAUGUUGAGAGAGCCCAGGAGUCCGCUCUUCCAUAUUUUCACCUCAAGACUUUUGAACAGUUAAUACUUUAGCGGCAGAAAAUAAGCCACCACAUAAGCAUGAACUCCAGUUCCUGGCCGGUCCACGGGUGACGGCUGUGCUGUGGCAUCGGCGUGGGGACUUCUGACAGCUGUGCUGACGAGGACAGUGUGUGGCUCUCGGGGACACUCACAGCGCACCGGGCUCUGCCCAGUGGGAAGCUCGUUCCUUCAGCAAACAUUCCCGGAGCACCAUCUAAGCGUGGGCUCUUGGAACUGUGUCCCAGCUCCGAUGGGAAACGGAACAGAACCGCACUCCCCCACGGAGAUUACAGUCCAGCUCGGAGAGGCGCCCCUGAAGUCACUUGGUAAUAAAUUAAAGGUUGUAACCGCGACAGUGGCUCAGAGGGACAGAGGGGCUGGACGGAGAGUUCCGGGGGUCGAGGGGCACCAGCGAGAAGUGCCUGUGCGAGCUGAGUAGAUGGUGGCGAGGAGUGGGGAUGCAGGGGUCCUUUGGGUGGGAGCCUGGAGCUCCAGUGGGGUAGAACUCACAGGUGGCGCAAGUCGGGACAGUCCUGCUGCCAGUGGGCGGCGUCGGUGGCUCAGUGGCAAAGCUUUGCUUUUGUCCCCACACUGGACGAAGGCACAGGAUCAUCUGCCUGUGCAGAACCCUGUGAAGACCAGUAACCCACCUGUGGGCAUCGGGGUGAGGCCCCAAAGAUGUCCAAGUCCUAAUCCCCAGAAAAAGUGACUGCCUUAGGCCAGCGGUAAACGUUGCUUAUCAGCUGACCGCGAGGUGGGCCGUCAGCCAGGAUCACCCAGGUGGGCCCGGUGUCAUCAGGGUCCUUAUGAGUGAGUGGAGGAACCAGGGAGAGGGGGGCGGGAAAGUCUUGGUGGUCAGGGCUGCCUUUGAAGGGGGAGGGUCCCGGGAGCCGAGGAAGGUGGGCAGCCUCCAGCAGCAAGAGAAGGCAAGAAAUGGGUUUUCCGUGGGACACGGCUCUGCCAGCACCUUGAUUUUAGCUCAGAGAGACCCCUUUCCGUUUCUGAGCUCCAGAACCAUAAAGGGAUAAAUGUGCAUGUUUUAAACCAUUAAGUUUGUACUAAUUUGUUCUAGCAGCAGUAGGAAACUAAUACUAUGAUUUUUCUUCCUGAAUAUUUCGUUUACCACACUGACUUGAGUGUGCAACAAUAGGUUUGACUGUGAAAAUGCAGCUAAGAUUGACCUAACCUUCAGCCAGUCAGGCCCAAGCACGUUUCUGAAUAAUGCCCAACUUGGUGUUUACACCCUCCCGUUUAAAAAAGUGAUUAUAAUAGAAAUAUUAAAAAAUGUAUUUUUGGGCUUCCCUGGUGGCUCAGUGGUUACGAGUCCGCCUGCCAGUGCAGGGGACACGGGUUCGUGCCCCGGUCCGGGAGGAUCCCGCAUGCCGCGGAGCGGCUGGGCCCGUGAGCCGUGGCCGCUGGGCCUGCGCGUCCGGAGCCUGUGCUCCGCAACGGGAGAGGCCACAACAGUGAGAGGCCUGCG